AGCGAACGCUGGCGGCAGGCUUAACACAUGCAAGUCGAACGGGCAUAGCAAUAUGUCAGUGGCAGACGGGUGAGUAACGCGUGGGAACGUACCUUUUGGUUCGGAACAACACAGGGAAACUUGUGCUAAUACCGGAUAAGCCCUUACGGGGAAAGAUUUAUCGCCGAAAGAUCGGCCCGCGUCUGAUUAGCUAGUUGGUAGGGUAAUGGCCUACCAAGGCGACGAUCAGUAGCUGGUCUGAGAGGAUGAUCAGCCACAUUGGGACUGAGACACGGCCCAAACUCCUACGGGAAGCAGCAGUGGGGAAUAUUGGACAAUGGGCGAAAGCCUGAUCCAGCCAUGCCGCGUGAGUGAUGAAGGCCCUAGGGUUGUAAAGCUCUUUUGUGCGGGAAGAUAAUGACGGUACCGCAAGAAUAAGCCCCGGCUAACUUUGUG
rnacentral:rRNA from 1 species